rnacentral:rRNA from 1 species
AUUGAACGCUGGCGGCAGGCAUAACACAUGCAAGUCGAGCGAGCGGCGGACGGGUGGGUAAUGUCUGGGAAACUGCCUGAUGGAGGGGGAUAACUACUGGAAACGGUAGCUAAUACCGCAUACCAUCAGAUGUGCCCAGAUGGGAUUAGCUAGUAGGUGGGGUAAUGGCUCACCUAGGCUACGCUCCAUAGCUGGUCUGAGAGGAUGACCAGACACACUGGAACUGAGAAACGGUCCAGACUCCUACGGGAGGCAGCAGUGGGGAAUAUUGCACAAUGGGCGCAAGCCUGAUGCAGCCCUGCCGCGUGUAUGAAGAAGGCCUUCGGGUUGUAAAGUACUUUCAGCGGGGAGGCGUUACUCGCAGAAGAAGCACCGGCUAACUCCGUGCCAGCAGCCGCGGUAAUAC